rnacentral:lncRNA from 1 species
CUCCCACCCCUCCUCUCCGCCAGCUGGUGCAAUCGGCGCUCUCCUGGAGACGUACGCGAAGCGACAUGGAAAGCCUUCCACCAAAAUGAGCUGUGAUAUCCUUUUGAUGGCUAUAAUUUAUUCCAAAUCGUCCCUGGACUGAAACGAUCAAUUAGCAGCCCGAAACGCACUGUGAAGUAAAUUGUCACACUCUCUAUUACAGGAUGGUUAUCAUAUAUUUAUAAGGUGUGUUUUCUGCAAUCAGAACCAACAAGGUGUUGAGCGAUCAGUCAUAAACGCACUUCUUCAAAAAGCUGGAGAGAAGCUCUAGCAUUGUAUGGCAGAGGAAGAAAAGUCUUAUGACAGUUAUUAACUCUCCCACCCUCUGCCCACGGUGAUGUUUCCUCUUGGCAUCUGGGAAGUGCAGUGAGGCUAGAACUCUGCACCAACUCUCCAGGCCACUCGUGUGACCCCGAGAGAAGGGUCCCUGUGAACAACAGAGGCUCAAAGCCCCAAGAGGAGUGGUUACCUUGCUGUGUAAAUAGAGAUCAGGCA